rnacentral:RNase_P_RNA from 1 species
AAAGCAGGCUGUCCUGUCGCGAUGCAUUUAGGUGCAGUGAGGAAAGUCCGGGCAACAUAGAGCAGCAUACUUCCUAACGGGAAGCCGGUUUGCGAAAAUCAAACCGAGAGCAAGUGCCACAGAAAACAACCGCCUGCACGCCAUGGGCAGUGUAGGUAAGGGUGAAAACGGGAGGUAAAAGCUCCCGCCCUAUGCAGGCGACUGUAGAGGGGGGUAAACCUUAUGCGUUGAAAGACCAAAUAAACCGAGGCUUGAGGGUAGCUCGCCCAAACUCGGAGGGUAGGUCGUUAGAGCUGAAGCGUGAGUUUCAGUCCAGACAAAUGACAGGAAUCUCGCUUAUGCGAGAAACAGAACCCGGCUUAUAGGCCUGUUUUUUUA